rnacentral:rRNA from 1 species
GGUAUUGAUUGGUGCUUGCAUCAUGAUUUACAUUUUGAGUGAGUGGCGAACUGGUGAGUAACACGUGGGAAACCUGCCCAGAAGCGGGGGAUAACACCUGGAAACAGAUGCUAAUACCGCAUAACAACUCGGACCGCAUGGUCCGAGCUUGAAAGAUGGCUUCGGCUAUCACUUUUGGAUGGUCCCGCGGCGUAUUAGCUAGAUGGUGGGGUAACGGCUCACCAUGGCAAUGAUACGUAGCCGACCUGAGAGGGUAAUCGGCCACAUUGGGACUGAGACACGGCCCAAACUCCUACGGGAGGCAGCAGUAGGGAAUCUUCCACAAUGGACGAAAGUCUGAUGGAGCAACGCCGCGUGAGUGAAGAAGGGUUUCGGCUCGUAAAACUCUGUUGUUAAAGAAGAACAUAUCUGAGAGUAACUGUUCAGGUAUUGACGGUAUUUAACCAGAAAGCCACGGCUAACUACGUGCCAGCAGCCGCGGUAAUACGUAGGUGGCAAGCGUUGUCCGGAUUUAUUGGGCGUAAAGCGAGCGCAGGCGGUUUUUUAAGUCUGAUGUGAAAGCCUUCGGCUCAACCGAAGAAGUGCAUCGGAAACUGGGAAACUUGAGUGCAGAAGAGGACAGUGGAACUCCAUGUGUAGCGGUGAAAUGGCGUAGAUAUAUGGAAGAACACCCAGUGGCGAAAGGCGGCUGUUCUGGUUCUGUAACUGACGCUGAGGCUCGAAAAGUAUGGGUAGCAAACAGGAUUAGAUACCCUGGUAGUCCAUACCGUAAACGAUGAAUGCUAAGUGUUGGAGGGUUUCCGCCCUUCAGUGCUGCAGCUAACGCAUUAAGCAUUCCGCCUGGGGAGUACGGCCGCAAGGCUGAAACUCAAAGGAAUUGACGGGGGCCCGCACAAGCGGUGGAGCAUGUGGUUUAAUUCGAAGCUACGCGAAGAACCUUACCAGGUCUUGACAUACUAUGCAAAUCUAAGAGAUUAGACGUUCCCUUCGGGGACAUGGAUACAGGUGGUGCAUGGUUGUCGUCAGCUCGUGUCGUGAGAUGUUGGGUUAAGUCCCGCAACGAGCGCAACCCUUAUUAUCAGUUGCCAGCAUUAAGUUGGGCACUCUGGUGAGACUGCCGGUGACAAACCGGAGGAAGGUGGGGAUGACGUCAAAUCAUCAUGCCCCUUAUGACCUGGGCUACACACGUGCUACAAUGGAUGGUACAACGAGUUGCGAACUCGCGAGAGUAAGCUAAUCUCUUAAAGCCAUUCUCAGUUCGGAUUGUAGGCUGCAACUCGCCUACAUGAAGUCGGAAUCGCUAGUAAUCGCGGAUCAGCAUGCCGCGGUGAAUACGUUCCCGGGCCUUGUACACACCGCCCGUCACACCAUGAGAGUUUGUAACACCCAAAGUCGGUGGGGUAACCUUUUAG